rnacentral:rRNA from 1 species
GACGAACGCUGGCGGCGUGCUUAACACAUGCAAGUCGAACGGAAAGGCCCUGCUUUUGUGGGGUGCUCGAGUGGCGAACGGGUGAGUAACACGUGAGUAACCUGCCCGUGACUUUGGGAUAACUUCAGGAAACUGGGGCUAAUACCGGAUAGGAGCUCCUGCUGCAUGGUGGGGGUUGGAAAUUUUCGGCGGUUGGGGAUGGACUCGCGGCUUAUCAGCUUGUUUGUGGGGUAGUGGCUUACCAAGGCUUUGACGGGUAGCCGGCCUGAGAGGGGGACAGGCAACAUUGGAACUGGGAUGCGGCACAGACUCAUACGGGAGGCAGCAGUGGGGAAUAUUGCACAAUGGGCGGAAGCCUGAUGCAGUAACGCCGCGUGCGGGAUGACGGCAUUCGGGUUGUAAACCGCUUUCGCCUGUGACGAAGCGUGAGUGACGGUAAUGGAUAAAGAAGCACCGGCUAACUACGUG